CCCUUGCACCAGGGCUGACUGUAGCUGGGGGAAGACAUUUUACUCAUUUGCUCUUUCCUUUCAUACAGUCAGCUGGUCCCUCUUCUCAGGUGUAGAUCACCUAUUAUAAUUUUACCUAAUUUUGAUACUCUGAUAAGGAAAGUCCCAGGACUUAUCAGCUGGGAUAGGCCUCACUUACAAGACAGCUCUGUUCAGUAUUUGGAAGAAAGAAAGCCUGACAGGUUUCUUCGGAAAAGUGGCCAUCCAUGGAAUGAAUGAAAUGUUCUCUUUCUAUUCCAGGGAUUGCAGUGGCAAAGCUAGGCUAGGUCUUGGAGGCUGGUGUAAGGCGAUGCGGGUGAAGGCAGGAGGCUGAUGGAAAGACUGGGGGGAAGAAAAGCCGAAAUGGAUUCACGGUGCCUUGGAUGAAGGACGAGAGGGGAACUGCAAGCUCCUUCAACUGGUUCUGUCCGGUGAGAAGUGAUCAAGCUUGGGCUGACAAGAGGCUCAGGGAGCCCUCACGUUCUUUCGCUUUUUUACCUGCCAAUCAAACUGCUACAAGACAACACCCUGAUCUGGCAUGGA
rnacentral:sRNA from 1 species